CAGUAGCCGCGGUAAUACGAAGGGUGCAAGCGUUAAUCGGAAUUACUGGGCGUAAAGCGUGCGUAGGCGGUUUGUUAAGUCUGCUGUGAAAUCCCCGGGCUCAACCUGGGAAUGGCAGUGGAUACUGGCAAGCUAGAGUGUGUCAGAGGAUGGUGGAAUUCCCGGUGUAGCGGUGAAAUGCGUAGAGAUCGGGAGGAACAUCAGUGGCGAAGGCGGCCAUCUGGGACAACACUGACGCUGAGGCACGAAAGCGUGGGGAGCAAACAGGAUUAGAGACCCCCGUAGUCCCUGUCUAUUAUAC
rnacentral:rRNA from 1 species